GAGGGUAUAGCUUAGGGGAAGAGUGUGUGCCUGGCAUACAUAAGGUCCUGGGUUCAAUCCCCAGUACCUCCA
rnacentral:tRNA from 1 species